GAAGAGGGAGGAGAGGGGAGAAGGGCGUUGCAGCCAACCCUAGGGGAGGUUUUGCGAGGGGGGGGGGGCCUCGGAUGCGAAGCCCCGCCCUCCGUGCUGCGUAGAGAGAGGCACGCCGGGAGAGUGCUGGCGGAAGCGGAAAGGGGAGCGGGCAGGAAGGGGCGACAGGGCGGCCGUUAGCCUGUGGGGCUGGCCGCGCCCACUGCGGUCUGUGAGGUUGUUAGUGCAGUACCUGCAACGUGCUCAGUGGCAGUCGUUGGUUUUCUGUUACCCUCGGGCCUUUGACUUGUUUCUUGGCCCGUAUCCUUGGACUUAAGUCCCGUUUGUAGGUUUUCAGAUGCAUUAAGAGGCUGUUUUCUCUCCUUUAACAGGCUGAAACAUGUUAAAGCCUGGUGUGUUCAAGUAGCAUUGAAUUUCCCUUUCUGCAAUAUGAAUUUAUUUUGUAAAAAUAUCUUGAUUUUAUGCUGCUUUUCUAAUUGAUUAUUUUAUAGUCUCCAAGGAAAGAAUCCUAGGGACAGCUAAGCUAUUAAUAAAUAAUUACAAUUAUAUUGCCUAGCAGUUGGAGAAUACAAGGAGGGAUGCAAGGAAGAACAGGACAGACUAGUGGGUUAUAUUUUAAUCAUGUUCCCUCUGAUCCUAAAAUACUUGGUCCAAUGAAGGGUGCUAAUAGGAUGAAUAACCCAUAACUUUAGGUAAAGAAAGAUCCUCUACAAAAAAAAAUCAUAUUUUAAUCAUUCAGAGGAUUGUUUAAAUAAUUUUAUGAGACAUUUCAUUCAAAUGAUUCACCUAGCAAGCAAAGUAUAGAAAAGUUUUGAGACUAUAAAUUAUAUUUUGAUCACAUAGGAACAUGCUGUAAAUAAAAUUGCAUUUUUUUUCCAAAGCUACAAGACAGGAAGGCCCUAAUUUCACUAGCAAUAAAAUGUUAUCUGUUAUUCAAAAUAUUCAUAUGACAGCCUCAAAGAUGAAGAGAAACAUGCAGUCCAUUAUUUACGCUUUCUAAAGAGAUUGGUAAUUUAAGACUAAACUACCAGUUUCUGCAGAGAAUUAACCUCAAAGAAAGCUGUAGCGGCAUGGGUGUCAGUCUCUUUUCCCAAGUACCAAGCAAUAAGGUGUUGGUUUCUUCUGACACAAAUUCCAAUCUCCGCUGAGGAUAACGUGAGCAGAUACAAUUCCUGGCUCAGUCCCUUUCUCAGAUCAUCUGCUGAGGAUCAACCAUGUGUACAAGCACCACUUCCCAGCCAGAUCUAACCAACUCCAGCGUACAGAGUUGUAGCUACAGUGCAAAUCAGCUCAGAGCUAUGCAUGUCACCUGCAAGCAGGACUCCAUCAGGAAACUCCUGCACCUAUUCUUCAUUUCUGGUUUACUGUUCGAGUCAAUAGAAACAGCACUAUGUUUGCUACAUAUUUGUGUUAGCCAAUCCAAAUUUCACAUCGCCCUGACCCUUCCACUGAAAUGGACUAAUUAGGUAGCUGCUGUUACUGGUGGGAUACUGGUGAUGGUGAUAAUGUUCAGGCUGGUUGUGCCAGAAAAGCAUUUUGGGAUGAGAUGAGGCGUUGUGCUCAAAGAGAUGGUCACUGCAGUGAUGGGAAAAGAAAAUAAAUACACACAUUCAAAUUAAAGUUGCCGUUGGUUCCUCUCACACCUUUAUAUUUAGCGUCUGCCACCAAGUUUGCAGGUGUCACCCUCUCCAGAAGAGGCAGAGAGCUGAAGUCUUGCCUGGUUCCCACCUCCUCUCCUGCUCCCCAACCUUGAUGCCUUGUCAGCUGCUGCCCAGCUGCAGGGCUUUAUUGCCAGCUGGUGUGACGUCGGGUGCAGCCCAGACUUGACCAGCAUUGCCCUUUCUCUCCUCCCCUCUCCCACACAGUCACUGUGCAGAACUGCACAUGACAGAGCCAGGAGAAAGAGCAAUUCCGUAGCACUGCUGCCCUAGAGAGGCAGACAGCUUUCUCUUCACA